rnacentral:rRNA from 1 species
GAUGAACGCUGGCGGCGUGCCUAAUACAUGCAAGUCGAGCGAACAGACGAGGAGCUUGCUCCUUUGACGUUAGCGGCGGACGGGUGAGUAACACGUAGGUAACCUACCUAUAAGACUGGGAUAACUUCGGGAAACCGGAGCUAAUACCGGAUAAUAUUUCGAACCGCAUGGUUCGAUAGUGAAAGAUGGCUUUGCUAUCACUAUAGAUGGACCUGCGCCGUAUUAGCUAGUUGGUAAGGUAACGGCUUACCAAGGCAACGAUACGUAGCCGACCUGAGAGGGUGAUCGGCCACACUGGAACUGAGACACGGUCCAGACUCCUACGGGAGGCAGCAGUAGGGAAUCUUCCGCAAUGGGCGAAAGCCUGACGGAGCAACGCCGCGUGAGUGAUGAAGGUCUUCGGAUCGUAAAACUCUGUUAUUAGGGAAGAACAAACGUGUAAGUAACUGUGCACGUCUUGACGGUACCUAAUCAGAAAGCCACGGCUAACUACGUG